GUCCACGCCGUAAACGAUGGAUGCUAGAUGUUGGGGGUAUUGACCCCUCCGGCGUCGCAGCUAACGCAUUAAGCAUCCCGCCUGGGGAGUACGGCCGCAAGGCUAAAACUCAAAGGAAUUGACGGGGGCCCGCACAAGCGGUGGAGCAUGUGGUUUAAUUCGACGCAACGCGAAGAACCUUACCUGGGUUAAAUCCGCCGGAAUCUGCCAGAGAUGGUGGGGUGCCCUUCGGGGAGCCGGUGAGAAGGUGCUGCAUGGCUGUCGU
rnacentral:rRNA from 1 species